rnacentral:lncRNA from 1 species
AGAACUAGCCAACUAUAGUCCAAUUUCAAAUGUACCCUUUUUCUCUAAGAUUCUUGAAAAAAGUCAUAGCAAGACAAUUAUCUGAGUAGGAAUAACCUGUACAAAGAUUUUCAGUCAGGAUUCAGAAAACAUCAUAGCACAGAAACAGCUCUGGUUAGAGUCACUUAUGAUCUCUUAGUUUCAGACAAUGAUCUAGUUUCUGUCCUUGUCCUUAGAGCUUAGUGCUGCAUUUGAUACAAUAGAUCAUAACUGUGGAACCAGCUCCCUGUUCAGGUUCGAGAAGCUGACACACUCUCCACCUUUAAAGGGCUCAUAUCAUGCAAAAUCCACUUUUUACACAUUUUGGAGCGUUCCUAUGACUCUAUGGGUCACAUAUACACACACUGAGCACGGUAGAAAUGCAUUUCCUGCUUUUUUCACAUUUUGAAAACGUAAAUUUUCUCAUCCAAUGGAGAGAGAGAUCUACUGUUCUGAGGCCGUUCCCCAGGUUUCGUCACACUGGUUGAAAGUUCUCCUUGCAAAUCCUGAACCACCACCCCCACAAUGAUCCCGAACCAAAACUGGACUUCCGCCAUUUCCCCCCUCUCACUCACCGUGAACAGACCAGCACGGCAGCGCCCAAGUCCUCCCAUAGAAAUAGUUCUGUUCUUAGGUGUUCUAACAACACUAAAGUCUAUUCACUUUACCAAGGGAUUAACAAGUGAGGACUUUGUGGGUGACUUUUAUUUUUAACGGACCGGUGCCAGAAACACUGCCUCAGCAUUUAUACGUAUGUGCAUUUCAAACGAGGGUGCGUACAAUGCUGGAUUUGUUUCACGGCUCCUGUUGGAAAAAAAGGACCUAUUCCUAAAGUCCGUCAUCCACUCACUGAAGGAGCCACAUCCCAGUUGCCCACAUGCAAGGAGGCUGUCAAACAGAGAAAUCACUGCAGACUGUUGGUACACGGACAUCUGCUGCCCAGCUCAGGAGUGAAGGUAUGUAAGUUUGUAUGUACCAACAGUAAGAUAGGUAAUAGAAGAUUUUAAUUGGUAUAUACUGUUUAGAUUUUAUAUUUGUAUUGUAACAACUGUUUAUCUGUUGUUUUAGCACAGACAGGCCUGUCCUCUUGUUUGGUUUAAUUUUUUGUCUGGUAUUGUGUGUUCUUACAUUAGAGCAGGUUUUGACCUACAUAAUAAUGAACAUUUCACUAAUCUACAAUUCUGAUUGCACUACCUUUUGUUUUGACGAGGUGAUGGUGAGGACAGCCACAGCUUCCAUCUGGUAGAGGACUGCUUCCGCUCAGUCUUCCAAAUAGUGAUGAGAACAAGGAUCACCACAUCUCCCUGUUUACCCUACUUUCAUGCAUUUCGUCUGCAGGGCCCUGCAAAAGCUUCUCCUUCGUCCUCAAACCCCCAGACUUCUUAAUUAACUCAGUAACCUAUACAUUGCACAUUGGAGUGUGAAGAUAACAGUUUGUUCUAGCUUUGGAGUAGUGGUGUAUUUUUUUGGUUUACAAUAAAGUUGGCUUUAACUAUUAUGUAUUUCA